UACGUAGGGCGCAAGCGUUAUCCGGAAUUAUUGGGCGUAAAGAGCUCGUAGGCGGUCUGCCACGUCCGCUGUGAAAACCUAGGGCUUAACCCUGGGCUUGCAGUAGAUACGGGCAGACUAGAGGUAGGUAGGGGAGAAUGGAAUUCCCGGUGUAGCGGUGAAAUGCGCAGAUAUCGGGAGGAACACCGGUGGCGAAGGCGGUUCUCUGGGCCUUACCUGACGCUGAGGAGCGAAAGCGUGGGGAGCGAACAGG
rnacentral:rRNA from 1 species